ensembl:lncRNA LINC01016 long intergenic non-protein coding RNA 1016
GCGGGACGGUUACUCUGUUCCUGAGGUACCCCCCGAGGUGGGUGUAUGGGGACCUCCGCCUCCCUAGACUUCUAGGCCAGGGGCGAGGAUCACCUUAGAGGGUUUCCCCAGACGUCCCUGAUUUCACAUGUCCUGUCCUGCUGGCAGGCUGCGCCUUCUUUCUGCGCUUUGGGGAAUGGUGCCUUCACGCACUUUGUAAAGGGUCUGGAACUGAGCUGAAGAGAAGUGAUUGAGGGCUAUUGUGGAAAGUCUCCGCUAAUUCAGGUUUCUUCACCCACCAGAUUGUCUGUGGGGUCAGAAACAGCUCUGGAGGGGUCUGCAGAAAUUACUUUCCCAAGUCUUUGGGCUGGAAGGAACGAACAGUGCCUGACCAAGGACUUUGAGCAGGAGAGAGAUGGGAGCAGAGAGGAGCCAAGACCGUCUUGGACUACCAGCCUGUCCGCCACCCCUCGGGGCCCUCCCUCCUACUCUGCCCUUGCCCGCUGAGGUCCCAAGCUGAGGAGAUGAGCCGAGCAGUAAAAAGAGAGGAGGUUUGGAAAAGCAAUGUCCUCUCAGUCUUUAAUAGGUGGCCCCCCUGGGAACCUGCUGGAAGUGGAAGUUAAUAAGCUGAAGGUGGUCACAACCAAUCUCUGCCACACUCGCACCCUACCCCACCCCAAAUCAUUCCUUUUAAUUAAUAGUGGAAGACCUUUUUAAAAAUGUAACAUGAAUUGGCUAUUUCUUGAGGCAAACAAAAGGUGGCUCUGAAGCGAUAUAUUUGUACUCGUAUAAAUUCAUUAAAAUAGAAAGCUUAUAACC